AGGAUUUUAAGUUAAUAAAACUAUUAACCUUCAAAGUUAAAAAUAAAAUUUUUUUUUUAAAUCUUA
rnacentral:tRNA from 1 species